CGUUAAAACAUCGGCACCCGUACGAUCAUCGAAGUUAAGCAAUGUCGAACCUGGUCAGUACCUAGAUGGGUGACCGCUUGGGAAUACCAGGUGCUGUAAG
rnacentral:rRNA from 1 species